rnacentral:lncRNA from 1 species
CAUGCAGAGUGGAACUGGACUUCAAUGACAAUUGUUCUGAUUUAAAGCAUAUACUAUCAUUGAGUAAAGUGCAACUAAUUCUGCUGUUUGUUCUGUUAUUAUGUAUAGCAGAAAUUGAACAUUCUUUAGUUAUCUGGGUUUUUAAUUACUUCCAUUUUCUAAAAUUUUGCUAAUGAUAUCUGUGCUAUAGUGUCACUUCUAGUAAUACUCUGGCUGCCUAAAUGUUUAAUGGACUACUCAUGAAUCAACAAAUUAAGUUGGUUUGUCAGAUGACUUAAAGCUUAUAUAAAUGCCGAAGUAGGCUGUGUCAGAAAAAACAUUAUGUAAUUGAGUUUACAAAAUCUUCCUUUUUACUAAUUAUUUAGGAGGGUAAAGAUGUGGAACUUGCAUAUUAUGAAGAAAGUGGUUAUGAUGGAAUACGAAGCACCAAUUCACAGCGCCAUGGAAACUGCAAUGCAUGCUUGCAUCUCGCUUAUUGAGUUGUAGUGAAGUGUGUAAAUGUACUGCCAUUUGUUUGCGCUGACAUGAACUUCGGUAGCUGGUAGCAAGCAGGGGUGACUAGUUUCAAGCACCUGCCUCCAGCAAACCAGUUCUAAAGGCUGUUAUGAUCCUAGCUUAUGCAGUUUACGUGUAGGUCCUGAUGUUUUAAUGAUGUUUAUGUUGUUUGAAUGGGUGCAGUAGGUGCCUCAAAAGAAAAAGGUGACCUGUGUAAUUACACAGAAGAGGUCCAGAUAUAUUUUUAUAAGCAACAUAAUGAGUGGACAUGUUUUAUAGGUUUUAUUGAUGUACAUUGGACUUAAAAAGGCUCUGAAGUGUUUCAUGAAAAUGAAAGGAGUAGGCUAUGCUUGCAGUUAAUGAACAAUAUUUGUAUGCUGUUGAGCCUGAUGCACGUGAAUGCUGGAGGAAGGUGACACUUUGCAUAUUGGGCCCAGCCACCUUAGUGCUUGGUGUAGCUGUCUACUUUCAUGGGGCCAUUUUGGGGCUGUUCGUGUUCUAUUUGUGUAUCUCCUUUUGGAGAAUGGAAUUGAACCUGCUGUAAAUAAGUUGACCUUUUAUCUUAUUAUAUGCAGUAUGUGUACAUAUUUUAUGGGUGUUCAUGUACAUAAUGUGAGGGUUGUUUCUCAUUGAGUGCAUGUUACCAAUCUGAUUGGCCCUGCAUAGUGUUCUGAAAUGGUUGGUGUAAAGAUUUGAUAUCAGAUAAUUUAGAAUGUACUUUUUAAAGAGAUGCAAUAUUAACAGUUCUAUAUAUUUAUUUAUUCUGUUGUUGUGAUUAUCAUUCAAUCCAAUUAAGAACUGAGUUUUGUCACAUGUGCUUGAAGAGGUUUCUCAACCAAAGAAAGAAAAGGCAGACUGCCUAGGACAGUUGGUCUAAUCCACUAAGAAUUCCAUGAAAUAAUGUUGCUAAAGAAGGCAGUUAUUGUGUUUUUGUUGCUUAUUUCUUGUAACAGUCAGCAUCCCCACCUUUUAUUGAUGACAAUAAAGCUCAAAUGUUGCGAUCAA